rnacentral:rRNA from 1 species
UACGUAGGGUGCGAGCGUUGUCCGGAAUUAUUGGGCGUAAAGAGCUCGUAGGCGGCUUGUCACGUCGGAUGUGAAAGCUCGGGGCUUAACUCCGAGUCUGCAUUCGAUACGGGCUAGCUAGAGUCUGAUAGGGGAGAUCGGAAUUCCUGGUGUAGCGGUGAAAUGCGCAGAUAUCAGGAGGAACACCGGUGGCGAAGGCGGAUCUCUGGAACGUUCCUGACACUGAGGCACGAAAGCGUGGGGAGCAAACAGG